rnacentral:lncRNA from 1 species
ACUAGGACUCAAUGAAAUUGCUGCCCCCAUGUUCCUGAGGCUCUGCAAGCUGAAGCUUAUUUCUCAUGAUAUAGGCAAGAAAAAUGUGUCAGGUUGCCACCACCUUCCUCCCUGGGCCAGAAUUUUCUGCUCUUACGAUGCUGAUGAUUGUCUAAGAUUGCACCAUCCACCCUGGAGGUUGCUGACUCCCAUUUGAUUGCUGGCCUGCCACUCAUCCUGUGCUGUUUUCUUGGAGCCUGACCUCCUCAGUGAUUGCUGCUGGAGAGACUGAAUGGUGCAACCUGGAAGUGCGGUGUAGCUGAUGCUCUGUGGUGGAAACUGACCAGAUGGAGAGAGGAGUCUGCAGAGAAGUCUUCUCUUUCUUCCUCACCCCAUAGUAAGCCCACACAGAGUUCUGGUCCUCACCACAGUGCCUUAGGGAAUGGAGCUCCCAGGAUGCCCACUUGAGCUGGUUCUCCACAGCAUCAAGCUCAGAACUUGGUAAUCCCUGAGCUUCUUCUUGAGAUACCAUGUCUUCUACUAGUACUUCCCGUUUUCGUCGACGGAGAGAAACCUGGAAACAGAAAGAUUUGAUUCAGAGAAGGAACUGUAAUGAGAAUCAGAACUAAAAACACGUAAGAGAAACCCCAUGAAACAAAUACUGCAGAAGCCUAGAUGGCAAAGCGGCACAGAUAACAAGGAGUGGUAGGGGAAUGGGGGAAAAGGCAUAAACAUAAUUCUAACUUAGUUGAGUGGAAUUAAUUCAGCAGCUUUGCCUACUACCUAUGCCAGUGCUUCUGACACAGGAAAUGACACAAGCAGGCUCACCGGUUGUCCAGGGUCAUCAAGUUCACUCUCCAAAUCCUCCAGCACUGUCACUGCCUCCUCUCCAUUCUCUGGAUGAUGAUCUCGAACCCAAGUCUGUAGCUCUUUGGGUAGGAUGGCAACAAACUGCUCCAGCACUACCAGCUCCAAGAUUUGUUCUUUUGUGUGCGUCUCUGGCCUGAGCCACAGACGGCAAAGUUCUCGGAGCUGGCUCACAGCCUCACGGGGCCCAGGUGAAUCCUGGUAUCCAAACUGCCUGAAUCGCUGUCGGAAAAUCUCUGGGUCUGGGAGAUGGUUCCAGGGGAUACUUGAUCCCUCUUCGCCAUCAGGAUCCUCCUCCAACUUCACUCUCAGAAUUUUUUCCUCUUCAUCUGGAGUUGGGAUGAUAAGUAUUGAAUCUUCUUCCACUGACUGUGCAGACAUUCUGAUUUAUAAUAUUU